UCUCCGUUAUCCGGAGCAGUCCUCUUAGAGUUCCCCCUUGCGGGUGGCAACUAAGAAUAAGGGUUGCGCUCGUUGCGGGACUUAACCCAACACCUCACGGCACGAGCUGAUGACAGCCAUGCAGCACCUGAACCGGCAGUCCCCGAAGGGAAGAUCCUAUUUCUAGGACUGUCCACCGUUGUCUAGCCCAGGUAAGGUUCUUCGCGUUGCCUCGAAUUAAACCACACGCUCCGCUGCUUGUGCGGGCCCCCGCCUAUUCCUUUGAGUUUUAACCUUGCGGCCGUAGUCCCCAGGCGGUGGACUUAAUGCGUUAGCUGCGGCACUGAUCGGGUCAAUCCGACCAACACCUAGUUCACAACGUUUAGGGCGUGGACUAC
rnacentral:misc_RNA from 1 species